AGAUAUAUAGUUUAAUACAUAAAACAUUAAUUUUGUAAAUUAAAAUUAAAAUAAAAUUUUAUAUCUA
rnacentral:tRNA from 1 species